rnacentral:rRNA from 1 species
UGGUGUCGGCUUAAGUGCCAUAACGAGCGCAACCCUUGUCGUCAGUUAUCUAACAGGUGAUGCUGAGGACUCUGGCGAGACCUGCCGUCGUAAGAUGUGAGAAGUGAAC